UACGAAGUGGGCUAGCGUUGUUCGGAAUUACUGGGCGUAAAGCGCGUGUAGGCGGGUCUUUAAGUCAGGGGUGAAAUGCCAAGGCUCAACCUUGGAACUGCCUUUGAUACUGGAGACCUUGAGUCCGGGAGAGGUGAGUGGAAUUGCGAGUGUAGAGGUGAAAUUCGUAGAUAUUCGCAAGAACACCAGUGGCGAAGGCGGCUCACUGGCCCGGAACUGACGCUGAGACGCGAAAGCGUGGGGAGCAAACAGG
rnacentral:rRNA from 1 species